CAGUCGCCGCGGGAAUACGAAGGGGGCUAGCGUUGUUCGGAAUUACUGGGCGUAAAGCGCACGUAGGCGGAUCUUUAAGUCAGAGGUGAAAUCCCAAGGCUCAACCUUGGAACUGCCUUUGAUACUGGGGAUCUUGAGUCCGGAAGAGGUGAGUGGAACUGCGAGUGUAGAGGUGAAAUUCGUAGAUAUUCGCAAGAACACCAGUGGCGAAGGCGGCUCACUGGUCCGGUACUGACGCUGAGGUGCGAAAGCGUGGGGAGCAAACAGGAUUAGAUACCCCAGUAGUCCCUGUCUCUUAUAC
rnacentral:rRNA from 1 species